rnacentral:rRNA from 1 species
UACAGAGGGUGCAAGCGUUGUCCGGAAUCACUGGGCGUAAAGGGCGCGUAGGCGGCGAGUUAAGUCAGCUGUGAAAUCUCCAAGCUUAACUUGGAACGGUCAGCUGAUACUGAUGUGCUAGAGUGCAGAAGGGGCAACCGGAAUUCUUGGUGUAGCGGUGAAAUGCGUAGAUAUCAAGAGGAACACCUGAGGUGAAGACGGGUUGCUGGGCUGACACUGACGCUGAGGCGCGAAAGCUAGGGUAGCAAACGGG